rnacentral:rRNA from 1 species
AGAGUUUGAUCCUGGCUCAGGAUGAACGCUGGCGGCGUGCUUAACACAUGCAAGUCGAACGGUGAAGCCAAGCUUGCUUGGUGGAUCAGUGGCGAACGGGUGAGUAACACGUGAGCAACCUGCCCUGGACUCUGGGAUAAGCGCUGGAAACGGCGUCUAAUACUGGAUAUGAGCUCUCAUCGCAUGGUGGGGGUUGGAAAGAUUUUUCGGUCUGGGAUGGGCUCGCGGCCUAUCAGCUUGUUGGUGAGGUAAUGGCUCACCAAGGCGUCGACGGGUAGCCGGCCUGAGAGGGUGACCGGCCACACUGGGACUGAGACACGGCCCAGACUCCUACGGGAGGCAGCAGUGGGGAAUAUUGCACAAUGGGCGGAAGCCUGAUGCAGCAACGCCGCGUGAGGGAUGACGGCCUUCGGGUUGUAAACCUCUUUUAGCAGGGAAGAAGCGAGAGUGACGGUACCUGCAGAAAA